CAGGCGAUACGGCUUAUGGUUUCGAUUGAGGAAGUUGUUAAUCUGGUUGCUAGGAGUGUACAUAGCUAUUCCAUUCCUAGUCAAACUUUGCCCUGCUAUUCAGGCGAAGCUGGUCUUCCUAAACUUUGUGAGGGUCCCAUAUUUCAUUGACUUGAAAAGACCACAGGAUCAAGGUUUAAACCACACCUGUAAUUAUUACCUGCAGCCAGAGGAGGAUGUAACCAUUGGAGUCUGGCACACAGUUCCUGCAGCCUUAUGGAAGAAUGCACGAGGGAAGGACCAGCUGUGGUUUGAAGAUGCUUUGGGUUCCAGCCAUCCUGUAAUUCUUUACUUGCACGGCAAUGCGGGAACAAGAGGAGGGGAUCACCGCGUGGAGCUUUACAAGGU